CACAAUUAUUUACUAUUUUCUUAUUAAACUGAUCUUUUUCAAGAUUUAAAUUUUAAUUCUUGUGGAUUCACUCUAGAUUCAAUUUUCGAAAAUGUUUGAUUGAUUGAAUUGUAAAUAAUCAAGUAUUAUUUAUAUUAUUUUCUAACGAAUUAUAGAAAACAUCGACCCAUUGCAAACAAAGCUUCCAAGGAAAUGUACACACGGUAUGGGCUCUGGUGGAAUUUCAUCCCGGACAUCGUACCCGGAUCCGGAUCUCGGCUCAGAAGUGGAGGCUUAACUUGGAUUACUUUUAAUCAGUUACGGUGUGAUACUUCAAAGGGGAAAGCAAGAAAAAAAAAUUCCUUAAACCCCUGAAAUAAACAAGCAUAAAUCAGGCUGAAUAUUCGUUCUGAGAAUUGAGCUAACAGAAGUGUUGGGAUCGUUGAGGAAGCGUUUUUAUGUUUAAAUUUUAAAGUGUCUAAUGUUUGGAAAAAAAAACAAUUCUACCGAUGGUAAUUCAAGAGGAAAGGUACGGGAUAGCGAACGAUUCAAACCUGGAAGUUUGGUGCACAAUUGCAGCUGAAACUAGGAAAUUUGGUUUUCAUGGACAUCCAAUUCAUAAAACAAUUAAUAUUCUAUACAAUAUUUUAAAUUCCAUCGAUAUAUAUAUAUAGUGUUCGGAUCCAGUUGUUUGGCUGUCGAAGCCUAAAGCAGGGCUAAGUAGUAUUCUCUAUGCAAAGUUUUUUUUUUAAAUAAACGGAGAAGUUAGAACGAACCGGAAUCUAUACGACAAACUGUCGAAGAAUUGGCUGACAUCUUAUACGGCACGGAUUUCAAGAAAUUCAACUAGUUUUUUCAUCUCAUUUACAACGUGAUUAAAGGCGGUGUCCGGAUUGAUGAUGGUCAAGUAAGCGGAAAUAUUUGGGCCCAGCUAAGUUCGACAGUCUACGAUUAUUGUUUUUCAAGGUGUUUGAAAUUGGUAAUGAAUGAGUUGGAAAUGUAAGUACUACGUGUCAAAUUAUGAAAAUAACAGGACUUUUUCGCUUCAUUUAUCUCUCAUUUAUGUGCAUGAUUUAACGUAUAUGUACCUACCUAUCUGUGUAGUUUGUGUGAGAUUCAAUUAGAUAAGUUUUUUUAGAGGAAGCUAUCUUUCCAUUGUAAUUGUGAGGUUAUAGACAAUGAGUUAUAAUUAUCCUUUCUUAUUUCUCGAAGAAAGUUAUAAUUUCGUAUAAUAUAGCUGAAAUACAGAUUUAAUCACAUUAAAUAGAUGAAUGAGGUCUGUGCAUUUUAUGUUCUGUUGAUGAGUAGACUUUUUUUUUAUCAAGGAAGUUAAACUGCCAGGGUCAUUCUUCCCUAACAGAUGAGUAGACAAUAUCAAUCAAGCUAUUUAAGCUAGAUUUAUUAUUAGUUUGGGCUAGGCUUCUUAUUGUAUAUUGAUAGAUGAUAUUAACUAAUAUCAUAUUUUUCUUUUCCUUUUUUUCUUUUUCUUUUUAGUAUUUCUUUUCAUGUCACCUUCUGUUGAUGACGAAUGAGCUUCGAAUUAGGUAAACUCGAACAACCCUCAAGCCAUCUCCUCACAACAUUGGUCCUCGAAGAUGGUUUCGCAUGAUGUGGUUGUCAUCCCAAAGACUUUAUCAACACCUGAAAACAGACGAAUCGCUGAAAAAAUAAGCUUGUAUUGUAUUUAAUAUAAGCUAUGAUUUAAAGUAUAAAUUAGAAGAAAAAAAAACCAGAAAAAUAAAAGAAAAACAAAUGAAAUAAUUUCUAGCUUUUUGUUCAAAACCGAAAAACCUGAAUGAAUGGCAACCAUGGUAAUCGGCCCAGAAACGGUUUGAAAAACCGUUCGGUUUCGGUCCGAAAUCGGUCCUUUCUUUCGGAUGUACGCCAUCGCAAUCGGUCCGGAAACGGUUCGAAAAAUCAUUCGGUUUCGGUCCGAAAUCGGCCCGUUUUUUCGGAUGGACACCAUGGCAAUCGGCCCGGAAACGGUUCGAAAAAUCGUUCGGUUUCGGUCCGAAAUCGGUCCUUUAUUUCGGAGGGACGAUGGCAAUCGGCCCAGAAACGGUUCGAAAACCGUUCAGAUUCGGUUGGAAAACGGUCCGCUUGUUUUGACAUUUGAUCUGCUCGAACUGGUUGAAAAAAUUUAUCGUCGUCCGAAAAAGUGUUUCAUUUUCGCGCGAUUUUCUACUAAACUCGGCCCGAUUUCUUAUACGAUUUCGGACCGAUCGAGCAGAUGAACGGACAAAAUUCGGGCCGAUUUCGGGCGAUUUUUCCUGUCUGGGUUGCUUUAGAGCAUCGGUGAGUGACUUGAACAGCAGCAAGCGAGAGUGAGAGCCGUCACAUCAUCACCCACCAUCCGCAUGGAAGAGCGAAUCAGCUGGAAAACCAACAACAAAGGGAAUCAAACCUAUCGUCCGAGGCGAUAUCGAAAUCCAAAGGCGGGAUUUAUAAUUUUGUGCAGCAGCACUAUCGAGAGGAACGCGCUCAAGCAUCCUGAAGGAAACAUCUUUCAACAAGAAGCGACUGACUGUCCUGUAUGUGUGAGUUGUAGAUUUUAAUUGUAUAGAGAAUAAGGGUUCUUUGGUCAAUAUGAGAUAUUGUAAAUGCUGAAUAAUUCUGUCUCAGUUCAAGCACUACCAUAGUGUGGUUCCUAAGACAUUGUAAGUUGCUUUAGCCGGGCAUAAACCUUCGGGGAUACGGGGCUCACUUUGUAUUGUGCAUUUUGAUUGAGUUCAUU